GAUGAGCGCUGGCGGCGUGCCUAAUACAUGCAAGUCGAGCGAACGGACGAGAAGCUUGCUCCUCUGAUGUUAGCGGCGGACGGGUGAGUAACACGUGGAUAACCUACCUAUAAGACUGGGAUAACUUCGGGAAACCGGAGCUAAUACCGGAUGAUAUUUUGAACCGAAUGGUUCAAAAGUGAAAGACGGUCUUGCUGUCACUUAUAGAUGGAUCCGCGCUGCAUUAGCUAGUUGGUAAGGUAACGGCUUACCAAGGCAACGAUGCAUAGCCGACCUGAGAGGGUGAUCGGCCACACUGGAACUGAGACACGGUCCAGACUCCUACGGGAGGCAGCAGUAGGGAAUCUUCCGCAAUGGGCGAAAGCCUGACGGAGCAACGCCGCGUGAGUGAUGAAGGUCUUCGGAUCGUAAAACUCUGUUAUUAGGGAAGAACAUAUGUGUAAGUAACUGUGCACAUCUUGACGGUACCUAAUCAGAAAGCCACGGCUAACUACGUG
rnacentral:rRNA from 1 species